rnacentral:rRNA from 1 species
GAUGAACGCUGGCGGCGUGCCUAAUACAUGCAAGUCGAGCGAACAGAUGAGGAGCUUGCUCCUCUGACGUUAGCGGCGGACGGGUGAGUAACACGUGGAUAACCUACCUAUAAGACUGGGAUAACUUCGGGAAACCGGGGCUAAUACCGGAUAAUAUAUUGAACCGCAUGGUUCAAUAGUGAAAGACGGUUUCGCUGUCACUUAUAGAUGGAUCCGCGCCGCAUUAGCUAGUUGGUAAGGUAACGGCUUACCAAGGCAACGAUGCGUAGCCGACCUGAGAGGGUGAUCGGCCACACUGGAACUGAGACACGGUCCAGACUCCUACGGGAGGCAGCAGUAGGGAAUCUUCCGCAAUGGGCGAAAGCCUGACGGAGCAACGCCGCGUGAGUGAUGAAGGUCUUCGGAUCGUAAAACUCUGUUAUUAGGGAAGAACAAAUGUGUAAGUAACUAUGCACGUCUUGGCGGUACCUAAUCAGAAAGCCACGGCUAACUACGUG